UCAGAACGAACGCUGGCGGCAUGCCUAAUACAUGCAAGUCGAACGAGAAAGCUCCUUCGGGGGUGAUUAGAGUGGCGCACGGGUGAGUAACACGUAGGUGACCUACCCUUUAGUUGGGGAUAACCCCGGGAAACCGGAGCUAAUACCGAAUGUGUUGAACGAAUUUGGAAAUAGUUCAAUAAAGAUGGCCUCUGCAUAUGCUAUCGCUAGGGGAAGGGCCUGCGCUGCAUUAGCUAGUUGGUAGGGUAAUGGCCUACCAAGGCGACGAUGGAUAGCGGGUCUGAGAGGAUGAUCAGCCACACUGGAACUGAGACACGGUCCAGACUCCUACGGGAGGCAGCAGUGGGGAAUAUUGCGCAAUGGGCGAAAGCCUGACGCAGCAACGCCGCGUGAGUGUAGAAGGCCUUCGGGUUGUAAAGCUCUGUCAGAAGGGAAAAAUGGCCUAGCGGUUAAUACCCGUUAGGUUUGAUGGUACCCUAGAAGAAAGCACCGGCUAACUUCGUGCCAGCAGCCGCGGUAAUACGAAGGGUGCAAGCGUUGAUCGGAAUUAUUGGGCGUAAAGCGCGCGCAGGCGGAUUGAUAAGUCAGGUGUGAAAUCUCGGGGCUCAACCCCGAAACUGCGCCUGAAACUGUUUAUCUAGAAUCUCGGAGAGGGAAGGGGAAUUUCGCAUGUAGGGGUAAAAUCCGUAGAGAUGUGAAGGAACACCAGAGGCGAAGGCGCCUUCCUGGACGAGUAUUGACGCUGAGGCGCGAAAGCGUGGGGAGCAAACAGGAUUAGAUACCCUGGUAGUCCACGCCGUAAACGAUGUGCACUAGCUAUUGGGGCCGUUAGGCUGCCGUAACGUAGCUAACGCAUUAAGUACUCCGCCUGGGAAGUACGGUCGCAAGACUAAAACUCAAAGGAAUUGACGGGGGCCCGCACAAGCGGUGGAUUAUGUGGUUUAAUUCGAAGCAACGCGCAGAACCUUACCUAGGUUUGAAAUCCUACGAAUCUGCUAGAGAUAGCGGGGUGGCCCUUUGGGGAAUCCUGUGACAGGCGCUGCAUGGCUGUCGUCAGCUCGUGUUGUGAAAUGUUGGGUUAAGUCUCGCAACGAGCGCAACCCCUAUCAUUAGUUGCCAGCAUUAAGUUGGGCACUCUAAUGAGACUGCCUGGGUUAACCAGGAGGAAGGUGGGGAUGACGUCAAGUCCUCAUGGCCCUUAUGCCUAGGGCUACACACGUGAUACAAUGGACGGCACAAAGGGACGCCAACCCGCGAGGGGGAGCUAAUCCCAAAAAGCUGUUCUCAGUUCGGAUUGGAGUCUGCAACUCGACUCCAUGAAGUUGGAAUCGCUAGUAAUCGCGGAUCAGAAUGCCGCGGUGAAUACGUUCCCGGGCCUUGUACACACCGCCCGUCACACCAUGGGAGUUAGCUCAACCUGAAGUCGUGACCCCAACCCUUUUGGGAGGGGAGCG
rnacentral:rRNA from 1 species